rnacentral:rRNA from 1 species
AUGCAUACGUGUUCAUGAACUCUCUCCGCAAGGAAAAGGCCGUUCGGCCGCGGGAUUCGUGGGCUGCAGAGGCGCGAAACUUUGCAAUACACGAAAGUGUGACAGGGCUAUCCGAGUGCCAUCCGCUGAGGAAGGCGUUUUACCCAGUUUAGAACGCUGGGAGAAUAAGGAGAGGGCUAAGACUGGUGUCAGCCGCCGCGGUAAUACCAGCUCCUCUGAGUGGUGUGGAUGUUUAUUGGGCCUUAAAGCAUCCGUAGCUGGCUUGGGAAAGUCCCCUGUUAAAUCCACCGAUUUAAUCGUUGGAGUGCGGGGGAUCUGCCCGGCUAGGGGACGGGGGAGGCAGACGGUAUUUCGGGGUAGGGGUGAAAUCUAUAAUCCGGGAAGACCACCAGUGGCGAAGGCUGUCUGCUAGAACGUGCCCGACGGUGAGGGAUAAAGCUGGGGGAGCGAACCCGGAUUUAGAUACCCGGGUAGUCCCAGCUGUAAACGAUGCAGGCUAGGUGUUUUGGCGGGCCACGGUGCCGCUCUUAGUGCCUGCAAGAAGUCGUUAAACCUUGCCGCCUUGGGGGAGGUACGGCCGCCAAGGCUUAAAACUUAAAGGAAAUU